rnacentral:misc_RNA from 1 species
GAUGAAGAACGUAGCGAAAUGCGAUAAGUAAUGUGAAUUGCAGAAUUCAGUGAAUCAUCGAAUCUUUGAACGCACAUUGCGCCCUCUGGUAUUCCGGGGGGCAUGCCUGUUCGAGCGUCAUUAUAACCACUCAAGCUCUCGCUUGGUAUUGGGGUUCGCGGUUUUGCGGCCCCUAAAAUCAGUGGCGGUGCCUGUCGGCUCUACGCGUAGUAAUACUUCUCGCGAUUGAGUUCGAUAGGUCUACUUGCCAGUAACCCCCAAUUUUUACAGGUUGACCUCGGAUCAGGUAGGGAUACCCGCUGAACUUAAGCAUAUCAAUAAGCGGAGGA